rnacentral:lncRNA from 8 species
UGGACUUCUAGAACCCCCCUCACCAUCAUCACCGCUGGCAACAAACAUCUGGACUUCUAGAACCCCCCUCACCAUCAUCACCGCUGGCAACAAACAUCUGGACUUCUAGAACCCCCCCUCACCAUCAUCACCGCUGGCAACAAACAUCUGGACUUCUAGAACCCCCCUCACCAUCAUCACCGCUGGCAACAAACAUCUGGACUUCUAGAACCCCCCUCACCAUCAUCACCGCUGGCAACAAACAUCUGGACUUCUAGAACCCCCCCUCACCAUCAUCACCGCUGGCAACAAACAUCUGGACUUCUAGAACCCCCCUCACCAUCAUCACCGCUGGCAACAAACAUCUGGACUUCUAGAACCCCCCUCACCAUUAUCACGGCUGGCAACAAACAUCUGGACUUCUAGAACCCCCCUCACCAUUAUCACCGCUGGCAACAAACACAUGGACUUCUAGAACCCCCCUCACCAUUAUCACGGCUGGCAACAAACAUCUGGACUUCUCGAACCCCCUCACCAUUAUCACUGCUGGCAACAAGCACAUGGACUUCUAGAACCCCCUCAUCAUCAUCACCGCUGGCAACAAACAUCUGGACUUCUAGAACCCCCCUCACCAUCAUCACCGCUGGCAACAAACACCUGGACUUCUAGAACCUCCUCACCAUUAUCACCGUUACACCACUGUCACAUUGUCAACCAUUUACCUGCCAACCGUUUUCGCCCGCCAAUAUUUUCCCUUCAACUGUCCAAGUGGCCUAGCACCCUCCUUCCUUUUACUAGGACAGUUUGACAUUUGAUAUUUUAGUCAUUUUAGUAAAGGCUAUUAUCUAGCGCGACUUACAAUACCUGUAUUGAAGUAAGGAGGCAGCGACACUCCAUCCAAGCCCUCUAUGUAACUCUGUCAUCUUGGUGUGACUGGGCCUGUCCCAGGGAGAGAGAGAGAGACGGGGGGGGGUCAUUUCAAUGGGAUAUCUGUAAUGAAACACACGAUACACCUUUCUGCUAUUUCACCAUCCUGCUGUUUCACCAUCCUGCUAUUUCACCAUUCAAUCAAAGGCAUCUUGAAAAUAUGUUUUUUGAUAAGUUGAAUAAAUGUGUAUAAAUCCAUAUCUCCAUGUUUCAUAGCCUGUUUUCCUAGCUUAUUGAGAACUUUGGAAGUUUCUAUCGUAACACCCAUAUUCUCCACAGAUCUUUUCUGUCUGGCUUGUUCGCUAUUAAUGUUUGAGGUGAGCGUUUGGAUAGGGGAAGCUGAUCCUAGACCUGUAGUUAGGGGCAACCAGGAGUAAAGGGUUGGAUGUGGGCGCAGGCUUCACAGCUCAUCAGGUCUGUUAUCUGGAUGGGCGGCUCUGCUAUGACAAGACCAAAACAACAAAUGAGGUCAGAUGGUGACAUGGAGAAGACUGAAUAUACAGC